CCACCUGCCCCCUCCACCUGCCCGCCACCUGCCCCGGGCAGGAUCCUGCGUUCUGCUGACAUGCCCUCUGCCUGCACCCUGGUCCACAGCUCUCAGGAGAGGAGCCAAGUCCAACAGCCUCUCUGUGCCCAGCUGGGGCUGGUGGGCAUCAGGCCCCCAUGUGCUGAUCAUGGCUGGUGGAUGUCGAGGCCACCUUCCCACCCUACUCCCCUCUGGGCUUCACCCAGGCUGGCUGCAGGGCUCACGACCCCCCUCUCUGGUCCUUUUAUCCUCGGGGGUAGGGGGCGGGGAAAGGUGGCCAUGGCGUGGUCCAGGGCUGCACGUCUGCCUGAGCAAUGGGCUGGGCCUCUCCUGAUCCGAGGGUGGGGUCUGUCUCCACCCCUGGCCCAGGGAGACCUGUCACUUGCUCUGAGUGCUGAGGGGACCUGGGGAAUACUCUACUGGACUCACUUAGGCCUGCCCAGCCCCAUGGUGGCCCUCGGAUGUCCACAGUCACACAGCAACCCUGGCAAGACUGGCCAGAGAACCGCCCAGCUGAGCCCAGCCCGAGCCGCUGACCACGGACUGCCAGCAAAUGAACAGGCUCCAAGCAGGUCAGUGCGGAGGCAGAGAACUCUGAGGUCCUCGGCGGGCGUCCUGACGGCCACCCAGAACCGACUAUUGGAUCUGCUACUUCCGAGGGGUUUGAAGCCUUUCGGACAGUUGAAGUUGCCCUCUGGACUUCCCAGAGAGCCUCGCUCGUCCAAGACAAGCGGGGCCUGGACCCGUGGCGUCCCUCUGAGGGAGCUGCAGAUGGGUCCCCGGGGGGGCUGGUCUCCAGGGCCUUCCUGCACCUUCAGCCCCACCCAACAUCCCUAAAGCCCUCUACAGGAAGGAACAUGGACUCCGGGGGCGAAGCUGGAGCGUGUGUGGCAGGGGAGGCCAGGAUGGCCUGCAGGUAAAGGCUCCCGGAGGGCAAGGGACACAGGGACAGCCCUCGGGCACGGGUGUCUCUGGCUCGGGCGCAGGGCCUGGAGGGCCGGACGGUCCACUUACUCUGUGGUCGAGGUCAGCUCCUCCGACACGUGGCUGGAGUGCAGCAGGCCUUCCCACUUCUGCUCGUCCCCGGGAAGCCAAGCAGAGAGAGGAGGUGAGAGGACUCGCCCACGCACAGGGUCCCCGGGCAGGAGCUCCCUCCCCACGGCUCAGGGGCUCUUCAGGUGGCCGCCGGGGAGAACCUACGGCAACCGUCCCCCGUGUGGCCUGACAGCGGGCCUCAGAGGGGGUCUUGGAGGAAGCGCCCCGGCUCAGAGUCCCCAGAGGGACUCAGUGUGCCACCAGGAGGGCGGAGGGUGUCUGAAGGAUGGGGAGUGACAGCCGGAAACACCCAGUGAAAUAGCUCCCAGGCUGAACAGGUCCCCCAAGUACGUCCACCCAGAGCCUCCAAUGUGACUUUCCUUGAAAACCGUCCUUGUGGACGCGAGUUAAGACCAGGUCACGCUGGACUGCAGUGAGCCUGAGUCCUGCCCGGCUGGGGUCCUCGUAAGGACAGAGGAGGCAGAGCGGGGGAGGCCACGCGUCCACCAAAGCAGAGAGAGUGAGACGGAAGCCUCGGGACAGCACCCGCUCCCCAGAGGCUGGAGGGCCAGGGUCCUCCCUGAGCCCUCUGAGGUCUGGUGGCCCUGCUGACCCCUGACCUCAGACUUCUGGCUCUCUGAUCCACCUGCCCCUCCUCCCCUCUUACAGCUGCUCUGACCCAGCAGCCGGGGGGCUACCCAAGGGCACCGGCCGCUCCUCGGGGCUGGGCGGGUACACAGGCCAUGGAGGGGGGCUGUGGGUGACAGCUGCAGGCGCUCUGGGGGAACCCGGGUGACCACUCAAUGCCACCACCACCACAGGCCCCUGCCCAGACCCCUCGCAGGAUGGGGGAUCGCUUCCUGAGGCGGCGGCCCCCAUGGGCCCACCCGAGAUCUGAGCCUCCCUCCUUCCUGAGCGCGGCCUCCAGAGCCUCUGGGGCUGGUCCCUGUUAAUGAGGAACGGCUGUCCCUGGCCAGCAGCCUGCUCGGGGCCUCAGGCUGAUUGAGUCUCAGAAGAGUUUUCCCGGAGAGGCCAGAGACAUCCUGUUCACUUGUUCACACACCAAACUCGCACUAGGUGCCUACCGGGUGCUGGGCCCGGGCCAAGUAUUGGAGACUUAAAGACGAAUAGUGUAAAGGUAGUGGACUCUGGUGGGGAAGUCGCUGCAGGUCAGUGACCCUGUGGCACAAUCCAGGCCCUGUGGUAGGAGGUGGACGUGGCCCUGGCCUCUGUUUCUUCCAUCCUUGAAAUCCCACGGGCCUUGCAUGGCCCCUCCUGGGACUAGCGAACUAGACGCCUGAGCAAGUCCAGACGUGCAGGGACAGGCCAGGGGGGAUGGCAGGGCAGGCAGGGCGGCUCGAACGAGGCCAGGAGGCCAGCCUCUGAGCAACGGUGCGGCCAGCUCGGAGCCCCCCCCCCCCCGCUUCCUCCAUGCUGGGUGUGGCCCUUCGAACCCCGGUCAGUGCGGAAGGCACCACGAAUACUUGCUUGGGUCAAACAUUCCGCAAACCCAAGAUUGCCUUGGACCCAGCGCAAGCCUGAAAGGGGACACCCGGGACGCUGAGCCUGCGCCAGCCCGGCCGACUCUGACGUAGGUGGGCUCGGAAACCAGGCUCCCCGUGUCCUCGGGAAGCCUUUCCCGGCCGGCUGCCUGCGACCAGGCAUCCAAGAUAGGGACCGCAGGAUGGCCUCCUGGGGCCCACGUCACUGUGCUGGCCACAGACAUCCUCCUUAGGCAGGAAGCGGGCAGAGCAGGCAGGUGACCUUUGCUGAAUGCCAGAGAGGGGCCUUCCAGCCAGGCCAAGCCAGCACCCGGGGUGACGGGGCGGUCAGACGGCUUCAGAAAACAGCGUCUCAGCCAGGUUCUCGCGGACCACAGACGCCACAGGACUGGUGAGUCCAAAAAUCAGAACGCGUGGCCGGACGUCUCCAGGGACACAGAAGAGGCAGCUGCUCCUUCAGGCCCCAGUGGGGUCUCCUCAUCUCGAGUCCCCAGCAGCCCAGCGAGCGCCUGGUGCCUGCGAGGUGCUCAGUACAUUCACCAACAAAACUGUGCCUGCACCCCCCGGGGCCCCGCACCCAGCACCGGGGGAAGCAGCGAGGGCGGGGCAGGCCCGGGGGGUCCCAGUCCUUCUCCCAGUGAAUCAAGAGAAAUGAAUCCCAAAAAAGAGAUGAUGGGGAUGUGGGACGUGCUCCACGGCAAAUGUGCGGAGCCUUUAAUUUGGGGAUCUAUUUCCUCCCGCCGGCCCAGCCUCCUCCAGUAAUAAGCACAUUCAAGGGAUUGAAUUCCGACGAGUUGGCUUUGGAGAGAAAUGAAUGUUCUUUUCAAAAAUCUGGAAAAUUAAACCUCAACACCCUGCA